CAGCUCUUCGCUCUCGUUCUGGAGUUGGACGCUGAUCACGCUGCCGGUGUCGCUGACAGCGUCGGCUCUGUCGUCCGUCUGCGUUUACUACGGCACCCUGCACGCCCAUGAGAACCAGCUCAACGAAGAUGCGGAAGACCUGAUCCGCUGCUACGCCAAGCUCAAACUUGGCAGACUGGAGAGAUGCGCAAUCUUCGAACGACUCAUUCUGUUGUUCUGGAUUGGCUACUCUGGAAUUACAGUCUGGUGUAGAUUCAUACACAGGCAGUAAGUGCAAAAUUG